CCGUCCCAACGGCUUCCUGGCGGGAUGGGUGAAAUUCUCUAAUGGAGCA
rnacentral:ncRNA from 1 species